GGGAUUGCCCCAGUAACGGCGAGUGAAGCGGCAACAGCUCAAAUUUGAAAUCUGGAGCCUUUGUUGGCUUCCGAGUUGUAAUUUGCAGAGGGAGCCUCGGAGGGCUGGUCGGUCCAAGUGCCUUGGAACAGGAUACCGCAGAGGGUGAGAGUCCCGUAUCCGGCCGACGCAGCGCUCCGUGUGAGGCCUCUUCGACGAGUCGAGUUGUUUGGGAAUGCAGCUCUAAGUGGGUGGUAAAUUCCAUCUAAAGCUAAAUACUGGCCAGAGACCGAUAGCGAACAAGUAGAGUGAUCGAAAGAUGAAAAGCACUUUGAAAAGAGAGUUAAACAGUACGUGAAAUUGUUGAAAGGGAAGCGCAUGGGGGCAGACUUGGACGCGGGGUUCAGGGUCUCCUUUGUUGGAGGCGUGUACUUCCCCGCGGACAGGCCAGCAUCGGUUCUGGGGGCCGGACAAAGGCGACGGGAACGUGGCUCUCUUCGGGGAGUGUUAUAGCCCGACGUGCAAUGCGGCCACCUGGGACCGAGGACCGCGCUUCGGCAAGGAUGCUGGCGUAAUGGCCUCAUGCGGCCCGUCUUGAAACACGGACCAAGGAGUCUAACAUCUAUGCGAGUGUUUGGGUGGCAAGCCCGGACGCGCAAUGAAAGUGAACGGAGGUGGGAGCCCUUUUCCGUGCGCGGAGGGGGUGCAGCAUCGACCGAUCCGGACGUUUUCUGAAGGAUUUGAGUAAGAGCAUAGCUGUUGGGACCCGAAAGAUGGUGAACUAUGCGUGAAUAGGGUGAAGCCAGAGGAAACUCUGGUGGAGGCUCGCAGCGG
rnacentral:rRNA from 2 species